GAGGGUAUAGCUCAGUGGUGGAGCGUGUGCUUAGCAUGCUCAAGGUCCUGGUUUCUAUCCCCAGUCCUUCCA
rnacentral:tRNA from 1 species